UUCCGACCACACGGGUGCCCGAGCACGGGCUGAGAUCUGGCUGAUGCUGCCUGCGACCGUCGAACCUGUCCGGAUAAUGCCGGCGUAGGAAGUAGGAGUCCUGUGAGC
rnacentral:ncRNA from 1 species